AAUAGAUACCCCGGUAGUCCACGCCGUAAACGAUGAGUGCUAAGUGUUAGGGGGUUUCCGCCCCUUAGUGCUGCAGCUAACGCAUUAAGCACUCCGCCUGGGGAGUACGGUCGCAAGACUGAAACUCAAAGGAAUUGACGGGGGCCCGCACAAGCGGUGGAGCAUGUGGUUUAAUUCGAAGCAACGCGAAGAACCUUACCAGGUCUUGACAUCCCAUUGACCGCUAUGGAGACAUAGCUUUCCCUUCGGGGACAGUGGUGACAGGUGGUGCAUGGUUGUCGUCAGCUCGUGUCGUGAGAUGUUGGGUUAAGUCCCGCAACGAGCGCAACCCUUGUUCUUAGUUGCCAUCAUUUAGUUGGGCACUCUAAGGAGACUGCCGGUGACAAACCGGGGGAAGGUGGGGAUGACGUCAAAUCAUCAUGCCCCUUAUGACCUGGGCUACACACGUGCUACAAUGGACGGUACAAACGGUUGCCAACCCGCGAGGGGAGCUAAUCCGAUAAAACCGUUCUCAGUUCGGAUUGUAGGCUGCAACUCGCCUACA
rnacentral:rRNA from 1 species